GCCGAUCCCCUCGAAGCGAUCACCCUAUCCCCCUUUUCCCUUUCUCUUUCGAUUUUUUCACGUGAUAGGCCCCUGGGUUCCUAUCACAAAUCCGCCUUCUCGUGAUCUGCUCCAAGCGGCGACAACAGCAACUCCGACGGCGUUUGAGAAGGGCAACUCAGAGGAGGACGAAGCUGGCCUUCAGCAUUUACUCCGGUGAGGAUCCCUCUUCUCCAUUUUCCCCGAAUUAUCCAUCAACAGGCGGCGGAUUUAAUUAGGGUUUUCACCGGCGUGGUUGCGCCGGAGGAUUCCCUCAUCUCUGAUUUGACCAAGUCUGAAAUCCCUUGCCGACGUGGUAGCGAGAGAAGGGAAACUCAAAGGAGGACGGAGCUGGCCUUGAACAUCUUCUCUGGUGAAGCCUUACUGAAAUCCAACACUGAGGCUGUUGUGGACUUCCACGAACGUGGUUGCGAAUGCUGGCAUGAUCCCAGCAACUUCAAUCUUCAAUUCUGGCAGCAAGCUUCAUUUCAUCUCUCUGCUAUUCAACUUCGCGUAGUUUGUGUUGGUGGAAUCAGUAGAUCAGAGGGUGAGGACAGUAAUUUUUGUGUAAUCUGUUGCUCUUCACUGAAGUGUUUAACUGCGGGAAGAACCAGCCAUUAUGUAUCAUUGUCCGGGAUCAGUUUAGUCAUCUGUAUUGUUGUCCACCGGCGUUGCUGGUUCCAUCUCCGGGCCCCCUUGUGACAAAGGAGGGAGGAAGCAUCUGCAAGCUUGCGACGUCAAGUAAAAGAGAAAGAAAACCAGAGGAAAAGGAGCUGUCCACUGCCUCAUUUUGUGGAUUGGGUGCACUGAUUUAGCUUAAAGUAUACAACGGUGGUGAUUCCCAGUGGGACCUCCAAAACAUUCUCUCAAUCAUCUCCCCCAUACUUGUUGAUUGCUUAUGUACGGAUUUCAUCUGAUUUUUCCAUUCUUGCAAGUAGGUCACUGGACAGCAGACAGAUAAAAAAAACAAAAAACAAAAAAAAAGCAAGAUCAUACCUUUUCCAUGUUGAUCCUAGGAAAUGGUUUCACAGAGAUGAUGAUAACAUUCUUAAAGAUGUAAUGUAUGCCCCUCUCCUUAGUGGCUCCAUCCAAGCCAGCAUAAUCUGUCUCUGCCAUGGGUGGGUGGGAGUAGAGAUACCCCAGAAAGAGGCAGCUUGUGCCACUAUUAUCUCAUGAACAUGAGAACCAGGGCAUCUUCAGACUGCUGGUGGAACUCACCACUCAACAUAAAUGAGUACUUUGAGAAAAAUGCACCAGAAAGUAAGUGGUCCCUAAAGUCAUCCUAUUCCUUGCGAAAACAAUAGGUUCAGCUGGACGAUAAGCAUACACAUCCAAUUCCAUACUUCGUGAUCCCAUGAGCAUCAUGCUUUCUCCUUUUUCUGCCCCUUUAUCUUAUUGGAUUUCUUGAGUUUGGAUGAGCUGAUGGUAGGCAACAUCGCGAGAAGAUGUCACUGUUUUUGUGGUGUUGGAGCUAGAGGAUAUUUUUUGGGAAGGAAGAUGCACAGAGACAUGGUUGCAUUAGUUUACUGCCACAGGCUUGCACCAGUUGCACAUUCUGAUCUUCUUUUUGGCUGAGUUUCAUGUGGUAAAUAGUGCUCUUAUAAUGGUCCUUGGAAGAGCAAAGGUGAAUCUGCAGUGACAGAGUAGUGGAUUACAUUAUGUAUCAUUCUGAAUAAUUCCAUAGCAUUGCCUGAGGAUGAUUUAGUUUAGCUGUUGCAGUAUCCACUUUGCAUUGAUAAUCUUCUCUUGGGCAGAUACACAGAUGGAAGGACUGGGAAAAGGAUACGACAUCGGCUGAGUAUGCCUUCACGACUGGUAUAUAUAUGUUCACUAUUCUUUGUUUUUUUGUCCCAGAUUUGCAUCCUUGGAUCCUAGUUUGAGUGGUAAAAGUGCAGAACCAGUAUAUCGUGAUGCAAAAGGGAAAGCUAUUUCAAAGGAAGAGCUACUGAAACCAAAGGAGGAAGAGAAACCAAAGUUUACAAAUCUCAAGUACUCCAGAGUUGAAAUUGAUGAAGUGCGGUUUGAGUGGGCUGAA